CAGCAGCCGCGGUAAUACGGAGGACGCGAGCGUUACCCGGAUUUACUGGGCGUAAAGGGCGUGUACGCGGCCUGGGGCGUCCCAUGUGAAAGGCCACGGCUCAACCGUGGAGGAGCGUGGGAUACGCUCAGGCUAGAGGGUGGGAGAGGGUGGUGGAAUUCCCGGAGUAGCGGUGAAAUGCGCAGAUACCGGGAGGAACGCCGAUGGCGAAGGCAGCCACCUGGUCCACUUCUGACGCUGAGGCGCGAAAGCGUGGGGAGCAAACCGGAUUAGAUACCCCAGUAGUCCCUGUCUCUUAUAC
rnacentral:rRNA from 1 species